CAGUGACAACUGACAAGAAAGCUGUUCUAGUCCGCCAUCGCCAAGUUGCCAUCAGUGUGAUGCGGGAACAGCGUCUGAUGACGGCAUGACUUUUGUUGAGGCCAUGCGCUAAAGGGAUUAGCUAUUUAAAGCCAGAGUCGACAGUGGAAAUUUCCCAUGUCCUCUGUAUCCAAGGGAGAUUGAUAGACGCGGCGUUGGUGAAGAGGUAAAUGGCAUUUACGCUAUAGCAUCUGUCUGGGGAAUUAGAUCUGCCUACCUCGCGACAUCAGUGAGGACAAAUCAGCAAAGAGCAAAUUACACAAUUUCUUAGAGAACUCAAAGAAAACCUACUAAAUAAAUAACAAGUUCGGAACAACUGGAUUAUUGAUUUACAGUUCCAUGCAUCGAGACGGAGCCCCCGUUUGCUCCAACAAGCCAUGCCAGUGAUGAUGCUGGAGGAGUUGUCUACUUUUCCCACAAGGCCAGAGUGGCCUACAGACAUCAGAUGGAAGGAAAUGUUAUAGAUGCCACCUACUGACCCAGAGGCUUGUCCUCCAGCCUCUGCUGUAGAAACACACUUUAAAGACUGUCAGGUCAGAAGGCUGUCUUAAUACGGACUGUAACCAUUUGCUUCAUUUAACCUGUCCAGACAGGAGAAUCACACUCUAGUUGAUAGUUAAUGAGCUGAGCUCUUGUCAAGGUUGGAGAUGCUUGAAAAAGAUGAAGGCUGAUGCGUUAUUUUGGAGAAUUGUCUGAUGAAUAUUAGAAUAUCUUUGAAAGAUUGCAGGUAACAAUUCUUGUAGAUAUGCGUUAACAAAACAUGUCGUUUACACUCUUGCCUUAAAGUGCAUUCUUCUUCUGUUAUUUUAUAAUUAGUCACUUUAUUUAUUGGCCUACAAUCCAAGUUGUGUAUUUCUGUCUGUUAUGCUAAAUGGGUUUGUAUCUAAACUAUUGUGUAGUAGUCCAUUUGCUGUAAAAUCUCUGCAAGUAGCAAGUGAUGUAUAACUACUGCUCAGCUAUACAAUUUAUGUGAAAUUUGUUAUUAACAUCACUUUACUGUAUAUUCUGUUUGUAUUUUCUAUCAUAAUCAGGACAUGCUAAUGCUAGGUUAAUAAUAAUGUGCAUUUUCAUUUACAUUUUGGAUUGCUGUUAAUAGCUUCCAGUUUAUGUAACCUUUGUACUGUGCUUCUAGUUGGGUCCAUGUUCUCUGUUAUCCUAUCACAGCUUUUAAACAGUUUUAUGAUUAAGACUGUAUUUUUGUAAGCCUGGGGAUGUCCUCAACUAACAGGCCUUUGUGACAGACAGUAAACACUGGUUAAAGAUUAACACUUAGUGAUGUGACCAAGCUGGAGGGAACUAUGGAGGUCAAUUUGACAGUGAAGCAGACAUGUUUUAUAUGUUUUAUAACCCUUUGUCCAUCAUAUGGAUGGACUAAGGGUUGAAUAUUGAAUGUGAGAGAGAAGUGAGAAGAGAGAGACAUUGAAUACUUCCAUGGAGAAAUACUCCAGUAUAUCUAGAGGUACUCAUUGUCAUGGUUUGUUUCAAACCCUUUCACAUGAGCAUCCAUUCAGUCUAUUUGAUAUCACUUCUAACUCAUUGUGUAGGUGCCCUUAUACCUACAUAUCAAAUAUGGAUAUCAUAUUUAAAUACAGCUGCCUGUUUUAUACCUUUACCUGUUUCAUUACCAUAGUAUAUUAUAAUGACAACCAGUUGUUUCAAUAAACAGUCAACCUAACUG
ensembl:lncRNA